CAGUCGCCGCGGUAAUACAGAGGGUGCGAGCGUUAAUCGGAUUUACUGGGCGUAAAGCGUGCGUAGGCGGCUUCUUAAGUCGGAUGUGAAAUCCCUGAGCUUAACUUAGGAAUUGCAUUCGAUACUGGGAAGCUAGAGUAUGGGAGAGGAUGGUAGAAUUCCAGGUGUAGCGGUGAAAUGCGUAGAGAUCUGGAGGAAUACCGAUGGCGAAGGCAGCCAUCUGGCCUAAUACUGACGCUGAGGUACGAAAGCAUGGGGAGCAAACAGGAUUAGAUACCCCUGUAGUCCCUGUCCUUAUACA
rnacentral:rRNA from 1 species